UAACCUCAGUGGGGUCGUUGGCCCGGGUCGUCGAUACCCCUGUUGCUGGAAUUUGAUGGUUGAGAAUGUAGGCAAGCCUGUGCAUGCGUGAGGUCUUUAUCAGAGUAUAAAUGCAAUUAUUAUGAUGCUGUCUGUAUGCUAAAGAAUAAGUGUAGACAGCCACGUAUCUCCUCUGAUGCACAUGCAGCUUAUUUUCACCUGGCAGAGAUGAGGGUUCACUGUUACCGAGGUUCACCGCCUCUGCACAGAUUCCCCACCCAACCGUCCUCCAGUCUUCAGCCUGCCAGCUACCCAUGGACCCUGAAGAUGUACAGACACGAGUAGUCAGGAUGGCCCCAGUUGCUCUCGACUUGCAGCUUCACAAAGUUGAAGACACCUUUUUUUGGUGACUAGCUGGGACAGGACGAGGACUAAAUGUCCACGCCCACCUUCAAAGGCCCAGCAGCGUCCUAGGACCAGGGGGGAGUGUACCUGAGGAAAGACAGAGAGAAACAGAGAGUUUAGGAUGUAUGUAUAAAAAAGAAUAGACAGUAAAACAAUGUCAGCUAUUA